ACGGGAGGCAGCAGUGGGGAAUAUUGCACAAUGGGGGAAACCCUGAUGCAGCCAUGCCGCGUGUGUGAAGAAGGCCUUCGGGUUGUAAAGCACUUUCAGCAGUGAGGAAGGCGGUAUCGUUAAUAGCGGUAUUGUUUGACGUUAGCUGCAGAAGAAGCACCGGCUAACUCCGUGCCAGCAGCCGCGGUAAUACGGAGGGUGCGAGCGUUAAUCGGAAUUACUGGGCGUAAAGCGCAUGCAGGCKGCUUGUUAAAGCCAGAUGUGAAAGCCCGGGGCUCAACCUCGGAAUCGCAUUUGGAACUGGCAGGCUAGAGUCUUGUAGAGGGGGGUAGAAUUUCAGGUGUAGCGGUGAAAUGCGUAGAGAUCUGAAGGAAUACCGGUGGCGAAGGCGGCCCCCUGGACAAAGACUGACGCUCAGAUGCGAAAGCGUGGGGAGCAAACAGGAUUAGAUACCCUGGUAGUCCACGCCGUAAACGAUGUCUACUUGGAGGUUGGUGUCUUGAACACUGGCUUUCGGAGCUAACGCGUUAAGUAGACCGCCUGGGGAGUACGGUCGCAAGAUUAAAACUCAAAUGAAUUGACGGGGGCCCGCACAAGCGGUGGAGCAUGUGGUUUAAUUCGAUGCAACGCGAAGAACCUUACCUACUCUUGACAUCCAGAGAAUCCAGCAGAGAUGCGGGAGUGCCUUCGGGAACUGUGAGACAGGUGCUGCAUGGCUGUCGUCAGCUCGUGUUGUGAAAUGUUGGGUUAAGUCCCGCAACGAGCGCAACCCUUAUCCUUGUUUGCCAGCACUUCGGGUGGGAACUCCAGGGAGACUGCCGGUGAUAAACCGGAGGAAGGUGGGGACGACGUCAAGUCAUCAUGGCCCUUACGAGUAGGGCUACACACGUGCUACAAUGGCAUAUACAGAGGGCAGCAAGACCGCGAGGUGGAGCGAAUCCCACAAAGUAUGUCGUAGUCCGGAUUGGAGUCUGCAACUCGACUCCAUGAAGUCGGAAUCGCUAGUAAUCGUGGAUCAGAAUGCCACGGUGAAUACGUUCCCGGGCCUUGUACACACCGCCCGUCACACCAUGGGAGUGGGCUGCACCAGAAGUAGAUAGCUUAACC
rnacentral:rRNA from 1 species